rnacentral:tRNA from 1 species
UCCUCAGUAGCUCAGCGGUAGAGCAACCGGCUGUUAACCGGUAGGUCGUAGGUUCAAAUCCUACCUGGGGAGCCA